UUUGGUAGUGUUAUCGACUCGACUCAGGUGAGGCCUGAAAGGUCUCGUCCAUCGAGGUCGUCUAGCCGUGGUCCUCGCUCUAGUACCCAAGGAAACGCCGAGCUGAUCCGGAUGCAGGAAGCUUUGAGGCGGCAGGAGGAGUAUAACAAGCAACAACAAGAGUAUUGGGCUGCUCAAUUUGCACGACAGCAGGAGAUGAUGCAGCAAAUAGCACUAGGGCAACGUCCAGAUUUUUCAGCGAUGACUAUGCCACCUCCUCCACCUAUCCCGCAGUUUGUACCGACUCCACAAUUUAGUUGGCCCACACCUGCACCUCAGGUCCCUCCAGGAAACUUGCUAACUCCGGGAAAUGAGGACUCUGAAGAUGCGGUCGCUUCUUUUGUGGACGGUCUUCUAAACAGUGGAGGAGCUAGCGGAUCAAAUCAACCACAUCCAUUUGAUCAACCUCCUCCAUUUGAGUAGCCUGUCUGCUUGUGUGUUUCUCGUACUAUGGACUUGUGAACUUGUGGUAUUGGGAACUUGUGUUAUUGUGAACUUGUGAACAUUGUGAAUUUGUGAACAUUGUGAACUUGUGCUUUAACUUGUGAACUUGUGUUAUUGUGUGUUUCAUGUGGUAUUGUAUGUGAUUCUGGAUGAAAACUGGAUAUUGUGUGCA
rnacentral:misc_RNA from 1 species